rnacentral:rRNA from 1 species
GAUGAACGCUGGCGGCGUGCCUAAUACAUGCAAGUCGAGCGAAUGGAUUAAGAGCUUGCUCUUAUGAAGUUAGCGGCGGACGGGUGAGUAACACGUGGGUAACCUGCCCAUAAGACUGGGAUAACUCCGGGAAACCGGGGCUAAUACCGGAUAACAUUUUGAACCGCAUGGUUCGAAAUUGAAAGGCGGCUUCGCCUGUCACUUAUGGAUGGACCCGCGUCGCAUUAGCUAGUUGGUGAGGUAACGGCGCACCAAGGAAACGAUGCGUAGCCGACCUGAGAGGGUGAUCGGCCACACUGGGACUGAGACACGGCCCAGACUCCUACGGGAGGCAGCAGUAGGGAAUCUUCCGCAAUGGACGAAAGUCUGACGGAGCAACGCCGCGUGAGUGAUGAAGGCUUUCGGGUCGUAAAACUCUGUUGUUAGGGAAGAACAAGUGCUAGUUGAAUAAGCUGGCACCUUGACGGUACCUAACCAGAAAGCCACGGCUAACUACGUGCCAGCAGCCGCCGUAA